AACGAACGCUGGCGGCAGGCCUAACACAUGCAAGUCGAACGCCCCGCAAGGGGAGUGGCAGACGGGUGGGUAACACGUGGGAACCUUCCCUAUAGUACGGAAUAGCCCAGGGAAACUUGGAGUAAUACCGUAUACGCCCGAAAGGGGAAAGAAUUUCGCUAUAGGAUGGGCCCGCGUAGGAUUAGCUAGUUGGUGAGGUAAUGGCUCACCAAGGCGACGAUCCUUAGCUGGUUUGAGAGAACGACCAGCCACACUGGGACUGAGACACGGCCCAGACUCCUACGGGAGGCAGCAGUGGGGAAUAUUGGACAAUGGGCGCAAGCCUGAUCCAGCCAUGCCGCGUGAGUGAUGAAGGCCUUAGGGUUGUAAAGCUCUUUUGGCGGGGACGAUAAUGACGGUACCCGCAGAAUAAGUCCCGGCUAACUUCGUG
rnacentral:rRNA from 1 species